rnacentral:rRNA from 1 species
GACGAACGCUGGCGGCGUGCUUAAUACAUGCAAGUCGAGCGAUGAAGCUCCUUCGGGAGUGGAUUAGCGGCGGACGGGUGAGUAACACGUGGGCAACCUGCCUUAUAGAGAGGAAUAGCCAUCCGAAAGGAUGAUUAAUACCUCAUAAUAUUGUAGCUUCGCACGGAGCAACAAUCAAAGGAGCAAUCCACUAUAAGAUGGGCCCGCGGCGCAUUAGCUAGUUGGUGAGGUAACGGCUCACCAAGGCGACGAUGCGUAGCCGACCUGAGAGGGUGAUCGGCCACAUUGGGACUGAGACACGGCCCAGACUCCUACGGGAGGCAGCAGUGGGGAAUAUUGCACAAUGGGGGAAACCCUGAUGCAGCAACGCCGCGUGAGUGAUGACGGCCUUCGGGUUGUAAAGCUCUGUCUUCAGGGACGAUAAUGACGGUACCUGAGGAGGAAGCCACGGCUAACUACGUGCCAGCCGCCGCCGUAACAC